GCGAGCGUGGUCCAAUGGCUACGACCUCAGACUUCCAAUCUGAUGACGCGGGUUCGAUUCCCGUCGCUCGCUC
rnacentral:tRNA from 1 species